UUGAGCCACAUCCCCAGCCCCAGGGAGCAUUAUUUACAAGCUGUAAAAGAUGCUGCAGUCCAUGCACGAAGUUGAUCUGAGUGACUGUGGUCCUGGGGGCACUGAGGUGGAGGAGGAAUCCCCAUGGGCCUGACGGCCUUCCAUCCCUGCCUCUGACAGGGCUGCAUCCCAUUUUGACCAGUGUUUGUAUGAGCCCCAGAAAGUCUCUUGUGUUUUGCUAAUAAGCUAAUAACCCUGCAGGAAGCCUAAUCAGGGCAUCUGAGAAAAUGAUGCUUCUCACCUUCAGAUUAUCAUAUAAAUUGUCUUACUCCCUUUAAAAGUUAAUAAAUGAAGCCAGCCAUGGUGGCGCACACCUGUAAUUCCAGCAGCUGAGGGGGCUAAGGCUGAGGAUUGCAAGUUUGAGGUCAGUCUCAGCAAUUUAGCAAGCCCCUGCCUCAAAAUAAAAAAAUAAAAAGGGCUGGGGAUAUGGCUCAGUAAAUAAGAGCCCCUGGGUUCAAUCCCUGGUACCAAAAGAAAAAGAAAAAAUGAGCCACUCAGGAGGCUGAGGGAGGAGGAUCACAAGUUUGAGCUCAGAUUGGACAGCUUAGUCAGACCCUGUCUGAAACUUAACAGUGAAAAAGGCUGGGGAUGUAGUUCAGCAGUAGAGCACUUGCCUAGCAUGCUGAGGCCCUGCUUUCAAUCCCUAGUACUACAAAAAGUAAGAAAACAAAAGGAAGAUUACUUUAUGUUGGUUUUAGCUGUACUCCUUGAGUGAGGCUAGCAAUCACCUGAUUUUGACAUGAAGCUUUUGAAGUAAGAGGUUCUUGUGUGGAACACACCUUACAGUUAUGGCCAUUGAGCCUGAGCUUGUGUUAGAGAAUGGGACUGUCCUCUGCCAGGGAGCUCAAAAGAAGCAGUGACUUGGAAUUCAGCAGGCCAGAGGGGCUCUGCUGAAGAAGUAAAUGCUUUGGCCAAAAAACCAAGAUCAGUACCUGGAAGGUGACAAGAGUGUCACUGCUUAUUUCUCCAGCAGGCGGUGUCCAGUCACUCAGGUCUCCUUAGUGUUCAAAACUGGGAAUGUAAAGCAAACACUUGACUUCUUAUCAGGCAACAGCAGAAAAGACAUUUAAAACCCUGGACGUGGUGCGUUAAAGGAUGUGGAAACAGCCGCGUUGUCAUCUUGUCAUUCUGGUCUGGAAUAAAUUACCUGCUAAAUCGCUCAUCGUCUGUGGGAGGACUGUGCAGAGAACAUCCCAACAAUCUACUGAAAAAUAGUACAACAGCUGUUUCAGGCUUGAAAACUUAGAUGAAAAUCUUCAUAACCCCUAGAAACCAAUGAAGAUGCUUCAGUCCCAGUGGGGGCCCCUCAGCCCAUGGUGCGGGGUGAAGGAGCUCACCAGUGGGAAGUCAUUUUGCCAGUGAGAUUGCCUAUAAAUGCCUUCAGGAAGUAAUCCUGGUUUGGGCCUCUCUCCAAGCUGAAUUGAAAAUGUUUACCUAGGAACGAGGGCUCUACCACUGAGCCACAACCCCAGCCCUGAGCCUUGAUCCUUAUCCUCCCUUUGUCAUGGAGAAAAUGUGUAGGUAAAAUAAUCCGAAGGACAUCUAGUUUGGGUUAUGCAGUUCUGCAGUAAUGCAGAUUGUCAAGACCCAGGAUGGCACAGGGCUGCUACUCCACAUAGAGCCUCCCCAAGCCAGGGCUAGGUCAGGGUCGGGGGUCUUGAAGAGCACUGGAUGCAGGGAGGACUUAGAGACCUUUCUCAGGGAGCAAGAGGCUUGUAUCUUGAGAAUUUGAAGGCGGUCCAAGGGGAAUGACAGGCAUCUGAAUAAACCACAGCUUCCAAACAGAAACUUCCUCUCUUGUGGCUAGGAGCAUUUUUGCUCAAGAGUUUUCCAAAGGGACUCUCCCUUCAGAAAUGUGACUUGCCGCCACUGUUUCACGUAGCCUCAGCCUUCCACCUCUGAACAGACUGGAUGUGUGGCUCAAGGUGCAGGUGCAAGAGGCGUGGCUUAGCUUGGCUUCGGUAGUUCGGAAAUUAUCAUAAAAUAUCUAUCAUAAAAUAUCACUCUACCAUAAAAGAAAUAUGUGGAACGGUUUUAUAAAUGCCAAAUCUGUUCUGUUGUUUCACUGUUUUAUGUCUGAAAAAUUUCAAGCUGGUUUGUAAUCAAAGAAAAGAUUGGUAGUUAAAAUAAGUAAAAUUUCAGUUUGUGCACUUCAAGAAAGAUGUCUGCUGGUUGGCCAUGUGCCAGCACGUUUGGGGAUGUUGGGGGACUAUUGUAAAAUGAGUAAGUGUCACUUAUCCUGUCCGAGAGAGUGAAGUGGAAGCUUGGGAGUGGCAUCUUUAUACCUGCUUUUGCCAGCCUAGCUUUUAUUUCAAGGACCUUGCCUUCCAUCCUGUCCCAUGACUUUGGUAAGGGACAGGCUUUGAGCGACAAGGCCCCAGCUCUGUGUGACCACAGCUGUGGGGUCAGAGGUUCUCCUAAGGGGUUUCCUCACCACAAGCACCUCACUCAGCAUCAGAAAGGUCAGGGUCCGGGACCAUUCCAUUGAAGCACUAGAUGCGCUUCCCGCCUCGCAGGCUUGCUGUCCAGAUGUGGCCUCCUCUCCCCGGAACCCAUGGGAUCGAGGCAGAGAUGCUGAGAUAUAUUGAGUUCAACUUUUCACAAAAGACACAAGUCUGUCUUGUCCCUUUCCCUGGUGCUCAGGCAUUUUGGUUGAGGUAUAAACGGCCAAGUCCACCAGUGUCUCUGGGACUGAGACGCAGCGCCAGGGGCCACCCGCUCAGGCUGUUUCAUGGUUGUAGAAAGUGGAACGACCAGCAGGCUGAGUCCUGGGGGCAGGAAUGACCCUAGAGGAGUGGAACAGGACUGGGGAGUCCAAGGAGCAGCCAGUUCAGGGAAGGACAGGGUAGUGUGGCCACUGAACCUCGGCACCUGGUGCGAGAGAUGAAAUGGGGGUUUGGGGUGCUGCUGCCCUUGCCCUGAUCCAGAUGCAUUUUGGGACUGAUGAGCUGCCCGGCCUGUGGGUUUUUUUCUUUUUUUUCCUCCUUCCUGUCCCCCAAACAACCUUGCUUGGCACUGCAUGGAGAGCACUUUCCCACCUGCACAUGGCCACCACAGGCCUGGCCUCCUCCACAGUGUCUGCCCAGCGCUCCUGAGGACAGCAGUGCUCUCUGGGGGGAUGGAAACUGGCCUCGAGACGGUGAAGUUUCCUGUUCACUUCCCUCCUGUCUCCUCCCCCACAGUGCAGCCAGCCGCGCUGUCACUGUGGAGGAGAGGGGAGCAGAGAAGAAAGGGACGCUGGCCGGACCCCGAAAUAGCCCUAGACAGGUGCGUGGCAGAUGCCAUCCCCCUCCCCCAUAGCAGGACAGCCGUGUGUGGCCCUCCCCUGCUUCACUAACAUACCUCCCUAUGUGGCACCUGCAACAGGGACCAAGCCUCCCCUGAAGUCUAGGGAGAGCUCUGGUACUCCCCGCACCCUCCACUCCGAAUCCCACUCCUUUUUGUAAAAACAAACGCUGGAGCCUGUGAGUGCCGCCCUUCCCUGUGUCCACCGGUUCCUUCCAUGUGAGCCAUGGGGGAGGGCGGGCAUGGGACAUGGGCUGUAAUCCUGUGCCAACCAAUAAAAGCCAGUAUUUCACACUCUGUUAGCAUCCGGUCUCUUCUCUAAAG
rnacentral:lncRNA from 1 species